AGCAAUCUGCCUUUAAGAGGGGGAUAACAGUCGGAAACGGCUGCUGAUACCGCAUAAAGCAUCAAAUUCGCAUGUUUCUGAUGCCAAAGGAGCAAUCCGCUUUUAGAUGAGCUCGCGUCUGAUUAGCUGGUUGGCGGGGUAACGGCCCACCAAGGCGACGAUCAGUAGCCGGACUGAGAGGUUGAACGGCCACAUUGGGACUGAGACACGGCCCAG
rnacentral:rRNA from 1 species